CAGAAUGUACUAUUCAAAAAAGGAUGCAAUGGAGAACAUUUACAGAGGACUGUGGGUAAAGCAAAGUCUUCAAGGGAAGAUAACAAAGGAUGAAACAAUGGUGUUGUGUGACUUCCUAGUGUGAAUCAUGGCAAUACAGUGAAAGACAGUGAUUUACUGCUUUUGAGGGCGUGCAUGUAUAUGAUUAACGGAUGGAAGUGCAGGACUCCAAGAUUUACUUCCUUCCCUUUCCAGCAGAAUUACCUGAGACGAGCAAAGGCACACAUUUUAAACGUUCAAGAAGAACAGCAGAAACAAGACAGGAUCAAAGCAAAAUACAAAGAAAACAAGAUUGGAGAAUCAGAGAAUCAAGAUCCAAGGAAAAAUGUUUACUUUGGCAGAAAUACCUAGAAAAUAUAGUGACUGCAGGCCUUGUUUCAAGUUCACAUAUUGAAUCUCAACAUGUUUACUUAUUUGCAAGUGGUUCAAAUGAACAAAUCGAAUUGUCUGUUAUCCUAAGAAAUGCUAAAUUGUCCAGAAUAGACCUGCAUUAACAAAGUGUAAAGUGAAACAAGAGACCAGUUGGCAGAGAGAGAAAAGAGAGAGAUUUCGACUAAAGCCUAGAAGAAUAGGUAAAAUCUACUGGUGGAGUCACUCCAUUAUUCUUAUCUGUGGAGAUCUAGAUCUUGAUUUGAAAGUUUCUGAGAAAAUCUUCAGCUCAGACUUGAGGGUCAACUUUACCAGCUGAAGUGACUACAUCCUGCCUGCUUUCAGCUCCAGUGGAAAAUGCAUUAAUCCCAGAGUCUCCGUGAGGUUUCCUGUUUGAUGACAUAAUCAGAAAAUCCUCCUCACAUUGCCCUUGGGGUUGCUGUCUGGAUGUUAUGUUGUCUUGGAUCUGCAUUUACUGCUCAACCACAUCUAAUUUGAUGUCCUCUGCAGAUUUAAAAUGUGUGCCUUCUUUUCCGUCACCAAGUCAUCCCUGGGUUACUACUGAACAUCCUUCUCAAUUCCCCCCGACCCAUGGAUGGCUGUUCUCCAUUGUCUGUUUCACCAGAUGUCCUCAAAACAAACAGACAGAAGAAGGAAGUGGCUAAUGGAGCUGUGGAGUCCAAGUGUGACUGCCAAGAGGAAUCCAGCAAAGCCAAAAAGCCCAAGCAUGUAGCCCUGCCCGAAGCACGCCACACGCAUGGAAAACCCAGAGGAAAUGAGUGAGGAUCAAUGGGAAGAAGAGAGCCAGCCAGGAAGUUGAAGAUUUGUCCAGGAGCAGAUAGCUGAAGAGAGAGAGAGAGAAGAGAGAACGGCUUACAGCUCAGGUCCUCUCUCCAUGCUUAGGAACCACUACAAAUGCUACUGCCUUGAGUCUCAUUUUGUUUCCCUCUGGAAACCACAUGUGUACCUUGUUUGCAACAGUAUGGUUCUGGAGACCAGAAGGCCAAAAUCAAAAGUAUGGGCAGGCUUGAUUUCUUUAGAAGACUCCAGCGGAGAACUGUGUCUCCUUGCUUCUGAUUCUACAUCUCCAUCCAUGGGCCACUGUUUCAGCAACCUCAGCCAGUGCAACACAACCUCAGCCAAGAAGAGUAUGCAGAGAAAGGAGUCCCCUACCUGCCACAAAACUGUUGUCUGAAAACUGUCUCAUAUUGUCUCAAGUUGUCAUUCAUUGUGAAUUAGACCUGUUUAACAUGUAAUCUGCAACAUGC
ensembl:lncRNA CASC15 cancer susceptibility 15